rnacentral:rRNA from 1 species
CAGUCGAGGGGCAGCAUUGGAGUAGCAAUACUUCAGAUGGCGACCGGCGCACGGGUGAGUAACACGUAUCCAACCUGCCGCUUACUCGGGGAUAGCCUUUCGAAAGAAAGAUUAAUACCCGAUGGUACAAAGAGUUCGCAUGUUCUCUUUAUUAAAGAAUUUCGGUAAGCGAUGGGGAUGCGUUCCAUUAGAUUGUUGGCGGGGUAACGGCCCACCAAGUCUACGAUGGAUAGGGGUUCUGAGAGGAAGGUCCCCCACAUUGGAACUGAGACACGGUCCAAACUCCUACGGGAGGCAGCAGUGAGGAAUAUUGGUCAAUGGACGAGAGUCUGAACCAGCCAAGUAGCGUGAAGGAUGACUGCCCUAUGGGUUGUAAACUUCUUUUAUAAGGGAAUAAAGUGAGGGACGUGUCCCUUUUUGUAUGUACCUUAUGAAUAAGGAUCGGCUAACUCCGUGCCAGCAGCCGCGGUAAUACGGAGGAUCCAAGCGUUAUCCGGAUUUAUUGGGUUUAAAGGGUGCGUAGGCGGGCCCUUAAGUCAGUGGUGAAAGUUUGCAGCUUAACUGUAAAAUUGCCAUUGAAACUGAGGGUCUUGAGUGUAAAUAAGGUAGGCGGAAUGUGUUGUGUAGCGGUGAAACGCUUAGAUAUUACUUAGAACACCAAUUGCGAAGGCAGGUCACUAAGAUUUAACUGACGCUGAUGGACGAAAGCGUGGGGAGCGAACAGGAUUAGAUACCCUGGUAGUCCACGCCGUAAACGAUGCUAACUCGUUUUUGGGGUUUCGGCUUCAGAGACUAAGCGAAAGUGAUAAGUUAACCACCUGGGGAGUACGUUCGCAAGAAUGAAACUCAAAGGAAUUGACGGGGGCCCGCACAAGCGGUGGAUUAUGUGGGUUUAAAUUCGAUGAUACGCCGAGGAAACCUUACCAAGACUUAAAUGGGAAAUGACAGAUUUAGAAAUAGAUCCUUCUUCGGACAUUUUUCAAGGUGCUGCAUGGUUGUCGUCAGGUCGUGCCGUGAGGUGUUAGGUUACCUCGAGAAGCUA